rnacentral:rRNA from 1 species
UGGCAGCAGCCGCGGUAAUACGGAGGGGGUUAGCGUUGUUCGGAAUUACUGGGCGUAAAGCGCGCGUAGGCGGACUAGUCAGUCAGAGGUGAAAUCCCAGGGCUCAACCCUGGAACUGCCUUUGAUACUGCUAGUCUUGAGUUCGAGAGAGGUAAGUGGAAUUCCGAGUGUAGAGGUGAAAUUCGUAGAUAUUCGGAGGAACACCAGUGGCGAAGGCGACUUACUGGGAUUGUUCUGACGCUGAGGCGCGAAAGCGUGGGGAGCGAACAGGAUUAGAUA